GUUAGUGGUAAAAUUUACCCGGUGAAUAUUAAGAUUUCUAAACAAUUAAAUCUAAAGUUAAAUAAAAGGGGUGAAUGAAUGUUUAUGAGGAAAUAAAGUUAUGAGAGGCCCGAGUUUACGGGACUUAGAAUGAAACGGGUUAUAACCCCGGAACCUACUAAGUUAACUAGGAAUAAUUAACCUAGUUAUUUAUGUGUGAUCAAGUGAAUGAAUAGAAAUCAAGAUUUUAAACCUCUUUAUAAAACUUCUAAAUAUGAGGGACUAAAAGUGGGCAAACUAGGAAAUGUUUUUAAUUAAAACAAUAAUAAAAAAUCAAAACACACACACAUGUGUGUGUGUGUGUUCGAUCGACCAGAAGCAAGAGCAGGGGUUCCAAAACCCUAGUUUAACAAAAUCAACAAAUUGAAGGUCAAAAUGAAGCUCAAAUUCACAACUAAACAUGAAUAAACGAUUAGCAAGCCAAGGGGAUCGUAAGUUUGACGCUUGACAAGCUAGGUGGAGGCUUGGAAAGGAAGCGGGUCAAACGAAACAAAUAAGAAGGAAAAGCGUACUUCGGAU
rnacentral:lncRNA from 1 species